rnacentral:lncRNA from 1 species
CAAAAUUGUGUCAUAUAAUAAAGAAGAUAGCGAUGUGAAGUUAGAUAAAUACGAAGCCUCAGGUUUCAUGAUUGCGUGUUCUUCACAUUAAAACAUACAAUGCAGAAUUUUAUUUUAGGCUUUCGCAAUAAGAAAAAAAAAGAUUUAAACAUUACAUGGAUAGCGCAAUUAAUUUAAAGAUCUUUGUUCAACUCUAAGCAACCAAUUAUAUAUGCAUAAUGACAAUAAUAAUAUAUUUAUACGAAAAGGAAUUCCCAAAUGAGCACAAUUUGACCCUCAUUCAACCAUAGAAAUAACUGGGAUUUCCAACAAGAAAAUAAUUACGGACAUUAUUUAUGUAAGUAAUGUUAAAGAAAGAGAAAAAGAAUUUACCUAAGAACAAAGGAAUAAAGAGGAUUCGGAAUUCAUUUACAAUUGUGACUCCUCAUCAAGAUGGAUGGAUAUAAUAAUAUCAAUGUCAGAUCUUUCAAGGCUACAGGAUAUACAUGAUAAGACUGCUGUUCUUGUUGAUGUAUACUAUGUAAUCAAAUCAGUUGUUGUAGACGGUAAAACAACAGCAUUUUUCUUAUGUCUAUGGUAAUCAAAAUAUACCCAUGGGUAAAAAAUAUCACGUACAUAAUUAAAUGUCCAACUACCAAAAAGGAUUAUUCAGGUCUUGAUAAUUUCCAUUUUAUCAUUUUUAUUUGUAAUUUUCAUUUCCUUUGUAGUAGGGAUAAAUAAAAUGCUAUAUUCAAGAACAUUUAACCACCCGGGCUUGGUUUUUCGAAUUUUUUUUUUGAAAAAAGGAAAAAUUUUUAGAA